UAGAGCAUCACUCAUCGAAGACACUUUCCAUCAACUGAGAGUGGCAUGUCCCAGUACCUUCAAGAGGUCCCUUGUGGUGUAUUUCGACGAGGAUGCGAAGCUGACAGAUGUCUACAAAAGGGACUUCUUCCUCCAUUUGUUUGAUAAGCUGUUGGUCCCCGAGUCUGGGAUGUUCAUGUACAACGACACCGAGACGCUGGCCUGGUUCCCUGCAAUGCCUAGAGUGGAGGAGAAGCGUUAUUUCCUGUUUGGGGUUCUGUGUGGGAUGGCCCUGUAUAACAACAACAUGGUGCACCUCCCCUUCCCCAUGGCCUUCUUCAAGAAGCUGGUGAACAUCAAGCCCUCUUUAGAGGA